UAGUUAUCAACAGUAAUGGGGAUGAAAUCCAAUGGACAUGUUACUAUGAACGAAAACUACAUUUACCUACACCAGGUAAAGUCAUAUGACGCAGGGCAGCGACGUCUGAUUUCGCGGUUUUUUUUCGGACUAUAUUUGCCGGUGCCAAAAGCUUUAUACUACAUUGAGACGAAAGCCGCAUGCUGUUCUUUUCGAACUCCAUAAACUCUCUGGGAUUUGGGAUUUUUCUCUAUUGUAUAGAGUUAGCGCCAAUCGUGUGUCACGGUUUAUACAUUCAUUUGACCACCAUCAAUUCCGAGGAGUUAUACAUCGAAGCGCUUUUUGUAAUCGUUAUGGAGAGGAGUUUAUGGUGAUACAUUUCACAGCAAUGCCUCUUCAUUGUUGGUUUGCAGCUCGAGCCAAAUGCAAAGCCUCCCCAUGCAUCAUCGUCAAAUGGACUCCUCUGUGCUUAAGCUGUUUCUGCUGGCCUCCAUCUUGUACACAGAGGCAAGAGAUUUAUUUCUGCUUGAAGGACAUCAUGUCAAACUGGACAUCCAUGGACAUGAAGACUUUAGGAGGGAGGAGAUAGAUUUUGUGCACUGGUCUUUCCAUGGACAGGUUGUGAGAUAUUAUCCUGCAAAAGAAAAAUUAUAUGUACCUAAUGACC